rnacentral:rRNA from 1 species
GAUGAACGCUGGCGGCGUGCUUAACACAUGCAAGUCGAACGGAAAGGCCCAAGCUUGCUUGGGUACUCGAGUGGCGAACGGGUGAGUAACACGUGGGUGAUCUGCCCUGCACUUCGGGAUAAGCCUGGGAAACUGGGUCUAAUACCGGAUAGGACCACAUUUUGGAUGGUGUGGUGGAAAGUUUUUCGGUGUGGGAUGAGCUCGCGGCCUAUCAGCUUGUUGGUGGGGUAUUGGCCUACCAAGGCGUCGACGGGUAGCCGGCCUGAGAGGGUGUACGGCCAAAUUGGGACUGAGAUACGGCCCAGACUCCUACGGGAGGCAGCAGUGGGGAAUAUUGCACAAUGGGCGCAAGCCUGAUGCAGCGACGCCGCGUGGGGGAUGACGGCCUUCGGGUUAUAAACUCCUUUCGCUAGGGACGAAGCGCAAGUGACGGUACCUGGAGAAGAAGCACCGGCUAACUACGCG